rnacentral:rRNA from 1 species
UACGUAGGUGGCAAGCGUUGUUCGGAUUUAUUGGGCGUAAAGCGAGCGCAGGUGGUUUAUUAAGUCUGGUGUAAAAGGCAGUGGCUCAACCAUUGUAUGCAUUGGAAACUGGUAGACUUGAGUGCAGGAGAGGAGAGUGGAAUUCCAUGUGUAGCGGCGAAAUGCGUAGAUAUAUGGAGGAACACCGGUGGCGAAAGCGGCUCUCUGGCCUGUAACUGACACUGAGGCUCGAAAGCGUGGGGAGCAAACAGG